UACGUAGGGCGCAAGCGUUGUCCGGAAUUAUUUGGGCGUAAAGAGCUCGUAGGUGGCGUGUCGCGUCUGCCGUGAAAGCCCAUGGCUUAACUGUGGGUCUGCGGUGGAUACGGGCAGGCUGGGAGGCUGGUAGGGGCAAGCGGAAUUCCUGGUGUAGCGGUGAAAUGACGCAGAUAUCAGGAGGAACACCGGUGGCGAAGGCGGGUCUCUGGGCCGAUACUGACGCUGAGGAGCGAAAGCGUGGGGAGCGAACAGG
rnacentral:rRNA from 1 species